rnacentral:sRNA from 1 species
UGGGCUUCAAGAGAGCGUAGAAUCAGGAGGUGACUGGCUCUGAGGGCCCUGCUCUUCUUGCUAAGGAGCCCUUCCCCAGCUCCUGGCUCCUGUACCAGCUGCCACCCUUACAGCCCUUUCUUAGCCACAUGAGGCCUCUGGAGAGGAGGGCAGUGCUGGGCUGGAUUUCCAAGAGAUGAAUAAUGGAGAAGCCUGAUUGUGCAGUGGGGAAACUGGAGCUGGGGGCUUGGUGGCCGGCUGACAUGGGCUGUAACCAGAGACAUGCUGGGAGCCAUAUCCCUACCCCCAAUUCUUUAUUUCCAUUCUCCAAUAGUGAAGGGAGGCUGGACUGUCCCCUACCAUCCCCUCUUCCUCCCCUGACCCCCCAACCCAUGCUGUGUUCCCAGGGCCAGCAGGCCUAUGAAAUAUGCUGCCUUAGACUCAGACUAAGACUCCAGGAGUUUCCCUGCCCUGGUUGCCUGUCCUCAUGUCAUCCCUUCCUUCCUGAGCCCACUCUGGAGCUCCAGGGCAUGCCCUUCUAUCUCUCAUACCCCUCUGCCCUUAAUCCCACAACACCCUGCCAGGCUCUUGCAGCAGGAGAAUGAAGAGCUUCGCCGGCGCCUGGCCUCCGCCACCAGACGCACUGAGGCCCUGGAACGUGAGCUGGAAAUCGGGCAGGACUGCCUGGAGCUGGAGCUGGGCCAGAGCCGCGAGGAGCUGGACAAAUUUAAGGAUAAGUUUCGCAGGCUGCAGAACAGCUACACAGCUUCCCAGCGGACCAACCAGGAGUUGGAGGACAAGCUGCACACACUGAUCAAGAAGGCUGAGAUGGAUAGGAAGACGCUGGACUGGGAGAUUGUGGAGCUGACCAACAAGCUGCUGGAUGCCAAGAACACCAUCAACAAGCUGGAAGAGCUCAAUGAGCGGUAUCGGCUGGACUGCAACCUGGCUGUACAGCUCCUCAAG